GUUAGGGUGGCAGAGCCCGGUGAUGCAGAGGGCCUAAGAUCCUCCAACGGAGGUCCAAAUCCUCCCCCUAACU
rnacentral:tRNA from 1 species